CCUUCACAGCCAGAAAGGCAGGCACCCCUGUGCUCCCAGCACCUAAGGUGCCUGGCAGAGAAUGAUGUGCUGAAGGAGCACAUGAAUGAAUGCUUGAAUGAACAAAUGAAUGAGUCCUGGAAGAAUGAGAAGCUCAUAAUGAAAGUGCCCGAGGCAUCCUAUUCUCCACCCCCCUGAACCAUAGAUGAUCCCUGCCUCCAUCCCGUCUGUCUGUUAUGGCUUGUGUUUAGAUGUGCCCCCAAAGCUUCUCAUGGUCAUAGGUAGAGGUGGCCGGAUCUACAGUGUGUGAUGCUGGAAUUGAUUUAUGGCGCAAUGCUAGGAUCAAGGGCAGUAGGACUAAGGGCAUGAGUGCUACCUGCCCUAAGUAGCCUGGAUAAGACAUAAGAGGUAGAAAGAGCUGUGGCCGUCCCUUGUUGCUCUACUACCUUCUGCCCACCACGAACUGUUUCUUCUCUGCCAUGCCACCCUGCCUUGGAGCCAGCCGAUUAUGGACUGACACCUCUACCAACUCAGCAAAGAGGAAGAAGAAACGAGCUCACAGGAGACCGCCACCGCUGGGCCAACAACUCUGGCUGCACCUGGCUGUCUCUCUAGAAGGGUGGUGCAUCUUUUCUCCCUCUCUCCCUCCCCAGCAGUCACUGGCUGUGCAGACAUUUUCCAAAGAAAAACCUGGAGGCCAAAAAAAUUGCAGGUGGGAAAUCUGCCUGUCAGCUCAGAGGAUUCUAGUCCCGCAGCUACCCAAAUCUUCUUGCAGAGAGACGGAGGCUGUGCUAAGCCCCGAGUUUAUGGGAAGCUCCUUGGUGCUUCGUGACACUUUGCUCAGCUCUUCUGGAGCUAAGGCUGGAAGGGAAAUCAUUUCUUUUCCUAUAAUUCAGAGCAAUUAUAUUCUCUUAAUGCUGACAUCUGGCUCGCUGCUGCUCUCCUUGCUUACAUUUUCCAAACCUUAUCAGUUCUGGGAAGAUCAAUUAUUACUGAAAAGUUGAGAAAUGCUCACUGGUUAUUUGCAUUGAUUUGGUUGACAAGGCACAGGCUUCUUUUGAACUACCGAUGUCUACGGAGGGGACCCGGAGGAGAAAAACACAUGAAUCUGGGGCAGCUAGGGUUUGAAGCCCCCAUCCCACUGCAGGGGCCAUGGAAGGUAGAAAGCUGUGUUCAGGAUGGGGACACUCUGCCACCCUCCCUAAGAACCCCAACAAAACCAUUUCCAUAAAGACAAAUGGGAAGCCAGGGUCGGCCAGCGCCACAAGCAGCCGCCACGAUAUAAUUGGCCUGUUACUGCAUCAUCUUUAAUCAAUAGGAUCCGGAGUUUCCUCAGCUUGGACAGCCCAAAUCUCUCUGGCAGCCAAGAAACAGCGGGUUGUUAAAAGGCCCAAUAGUUGUGCCUCGCUAAUGGGUGGCUUGUUCCCUCAACCCCGCUGACUUUUUAAAUAAACCUAAAUUCCAAU
rnacentral:lncRNA from 1 species